UACGGAGGGGGCUAGCGUUGUUCGGAAUUACUGGGCGUAAAGGGCUCGUAGGCGGCCAACUAAGUCAGACGUGAAAUCCCUCGGCUUAACCGGGGAACUGCGUCUGAUACUGGAUGGCUUGAGUUUGGGAGAGGGAUGCGGAAUUCCAGGUGUAGCGGUGAAAUGCGUAGAUAUCUGGAGGAACACCGGUGGCGAAGGCGGCAGCCUGGACCAACACUGACGCUGAGACGCGAAAGCGUGGGGAGCGAACAGG
rnacentral:rRNA from 1 species